GAGCACGUAGGUGGGUUUGUAAGUCAGAUGUGAAAGCCUUCUGUUCAACGGAAGAAUUGCAUCUGAAACUGCGAGUCUUGAGUAUAGGAGGGGAGAAUGGAACUUCUGGUGGAGCGGUGAAAUGCGUAGAUAUCAGAAGGAACUCCGGCGGCGAAAGCGACUCUCUGGCCUAUUACUGACACUCAGUGUGCGAAAGCUAGGGGAGCAAACGGGAUUAGAUACCCCGGUAGUCCUAGCCGUAAACGAUGGGCACUAAGUAGAGGGGUUUU
rnacentral:rRNA from 1 species